UACGGAGGUGGCAAGCGUUGUUCGGAUUUACUGGGUGUAAAGGUCAUGUAGGCGUCCCCUUAAGUCGGGUGUGAAAUCCCUUGGCUCAACCAAGGAACUGCAUUCGAUACUGGGGGGAUUGAGUACAGAAGAGGUAAGCGGAAUUCCGGAAGUAAGGGUGAAAUCUGUAGAUAUCCGGAAGAACACCAUUAGCGAAGGCGGCUUACUGGUCUGAUACUGACGCUGAAAUGAGAAAGCUAGGGGAUCAAACAGG
rnacentral:rRNA from 1 species